rnacentral:rRNA from 1 species
AGUGCUGUCGACCUCUCAAUGUAUUAGGUUUAUCCAACUCGUUGAAUGGUGUGGCGGGAUAUAUCUGGUAUUGUUGGCCCGCCCUUACAACAACCAAACAAGUUUGACCUCAAAUCAGGUAGGAAUACCCGCUGAACUUAAGCAUAUCAAUAAGGCGGAGGAAAAGAAACCAACAGGGAUUGCCUUAGUAGCGGCGAGUGAAGCGGCAAAAGCUCAAAUUUGAAAUCUGGCGCCUUCGGUGUCCGAGUUGUAAUUUGAAGAUUGUAACCUUGGGGUUGGCUCUUGUCUAUGUUUCUUGGAACAGGACGUCACAGAGGGUGAGAAUCCCGUGCGAUGAGAUGCCCAAUUCUAUGUAAGGUGCUUUCGAAGAGUCGAGUUGUUUGGGAAUGCAGCUCUAAGUGGGUGGUAAAUUCCAUCUAAAGCUAAAUAUUGGCGAGAGACCGAUAGCGAACAAGUACAGUGAUGGAAAGAUGAAAAGAACUUUGAAAAGAGAGUGAAAAAGUACGUGAAAUUGUUGAAAGGGAAGGGUUUGAGAUCAGACUCGAUAUUUUGUGAGCCUUGCCUUCGUGGCGGGGUGACCCGCAGCUUAUCGGGCCAGCAUCGGUUUGGGCGGUAGGAUAAUGGCGUAGGAAUGUGACUUUACUUCGGUGAAGUGUUAUAGCCUGCGUUGAUGCUGCCUGCCUAGACCGAGGACUGCGAUUUUAUCAAGGAUGCUGGCAUAAUAUCCCAAA